rnacentral:rRNA from 1 species
AAGCCAUGCAUGUCUAAGGAUAAAUAAUUUUAACCAUAAACCUGCGAAUGGCUCAUUAAAUCAGUUAUAAUCUAUUCGAUUGUAUAAUUUUAUUUGGAUAACCGUAGUAAUUCUAGAGCUAAUACAUGCAAAAAAUCGGAACUUUUAUGGAACCGAUAUAUUUAUUAGGAAAAAACUAAUACAAAUCAUAAAAACUUUAGUUUAAAUUGAAAGAUUUUUUCUAAAGGAUUUGUUUUAAUUGAUUUGAAAAAUUAUAAAUUUAUGAAUCGCAAAAAAUUUUUGUGAUGAUGCGAACGAGUUUCUGACCUAUCAACUUUCGAUGGUAGUAUAGAGGACUACCAUGGUUUUGACGGGUAACGGGGAAUUUGGGUAUGAUUCCGGAGAAAAAGCCUGAGAGACGGCUAUUACUUCCAAGGAAGGCAGCAGGCGCGUAAAUUACCCAAUCCUAAUUCGGGGAGGUAGUGACAAGAAAUACUAAUAUUGGUCCCAACGGGAACAAUUAUUGGAAUGAGAACAAUGUAAAAAUAUUAACGGCUAACAAUUGGAGGGCAAGUCUGGU